rnacentral:rRNA from 1 species
AGAAUCAACGCUGGCGGCGUGCCUAACACAUGCAAGUCGCACGAGAAAGGGUAGCAAUACCUGAGUAAAGUGGCGCACGGGUGAGUAACACGUGAAUGAUCUACCUCCGAGUGGGGAAUAACUGAGAGAAAUCUUAGCUAAUACCGCAUAACACUUACGAGUCAAGGCAGCAAUGCGCUUGGAGAGGAGUUCGCGGCCGAUUAGUUAGUUGGCGGGGUAAUGGCCCACCAAGACGAUGAUCGGUA